GCCAGGGUGGCGUAAUGGUUAACGCAUCUGCCUAGUCAGCUGGAGACCUGGGUUCAAAUCCCUGCCUUGGUA